rnacentral:rRNA from 1 species
AUUGAACGCUGGCGGCAUGCUUUACACAUGCAAGUCGAACGGCAGCGCGGGCUUCGGCCUGGCGGCGAGUGGCGAACGGGUGAGUAAUGCAUCGGAACGUGCCCAGUAGUGGGGGAUAGCCCGGCGAAAGCCGGAUUAAUACCGCAUACGACCUGAGGGUGAAAGCGGGGGACCGAAAGGCCUCGCGCUAUUGGAGCGGCCGAUGUCGGAUUAGCUAGUUGGUGGGGUAAAGGCUUACCAAGGCGACGAUCCGUAGCUGGUCUGAGAGGACGACCAGCCACACUGGGACUGAGACACGGCCCAGACUCCUACGGGAGGCAGCAGUGGGGAAUUUUGGACAAUGGGGGCAACCCUGAUCCAGCCAUGCCGCGUGCGGGAAGAAGGCCUUCGGGUUGUAAACCGCUUUUGUUCGGGAAGAAAUCCUCUGGGCUAAUACCCCGGGGGGAUGACGGUACCGGAAGAUUAAGCACCGGCUAACUACGUG